UACGUAGGGGGCGAGCGUUGUCCGGAAUCAUUGGGCGUAAAGCGCGCGUAGGCGGCCUCAUAAGUCCGUUGUGAAAGUCAAAGGCUCAACCUUUGAAAGCCGAUGGAUACUGUGAGGCUAGAGUCCGGAAGAGGCGAGUGGAAUUCCUGGUGUAGCGGUGGAAUGCGCAGAUAUCAGGAGGAACACCAAUAGCGAAGGCAGCUCGCUGGGACGGUACUGACGCUAAGGCGCGAAAGCGUGGGGAGCGAACGAGG
rnacentral:rRNA from 1 species